rnacentral:rRNA from 1 species
UAUGUAGGGUGCGAGCGUUGUCCGGAAUUAUUGGGCGUAAAGAGCUCGUAGGCGGUCUGUCGCGUCGGUCGUGAAAACUUGGGGCUUAACCCUGAGCUUGCGGUCGAUACGGGCAUGACUGGAGUUCGGCAGGGGAGACUGGAAUUCCUGGUGUAGCGGUGAAAUGCGCAGAUAUCAGGAGGAACACCGGUGGCGAAGGCGGGUCUCUGGGCCGAUACUGACGCUGAGGAGCGAAAGCGUGGGGAGCGAACAGG